GACGAACGCUGGCGGCGUGCCUAAUACAUGCAAGUCGAACGAGAGCGACCGGUGCUUGCACUGGUCAAUCUAGUGGCGAACGGGUGAGUAACACGUGGGUAACCUGCUCAUCAGAGGGGGAUAACAUCCGGAAACGCAUGCUAAAACCGCAUAGGUCUUCGAGCCGCAUGGCUUGAAGAGGAAAAGAGGCGCAAGCUUCUGCUGCUGGAUGGACCCGCGGUGCAUUAGCUAGUUGGUGAGGUAACGGCUCACCAAGGCCGUGAUGCAUAGCCGACCUGAGAGGGUGAUCGGCCACAUUGGGACUGAGACACGGCCCAAACUCCUACGGGAGGCAGCAGUCGGGAAUCUUCCGCAAUGGACGCAAGUCUGACGGAGCAACGCCGCGUGAGUGAAGAAGGUUUUCGGAUCGUAAAACUCUGUUGUUAGAGAAGAACAAGUGCUAGAGUAACUGUUAGCGCCUUGACGGUAUCUAACCAGAAAGCCACGGCUAACUACGUG
rnacentral:rRNA from 1 species